GCCACCGGGCCGUAUUUCUCAGAGAAAGGAAGGGGAGCGGCUGGCCGGGCGAGGGAUAGCGAGCUCAUCAUCCGAGAGGGAGCCGCCCGUCGCCGCCGGCGAGGAUCCAGCGGCGCCCGCAAAGGGAGAAAAGAGGACGAAGAAGAGGAAGAGGCUGGUCUUGCCGCAGUUCCACCUGGACUCGCUUGCUUGCUUGGGCUGUCGACAUCUUCAUGGAAGAAUGGAUCAAGAAUAGACACAGGACUGGGUUGCUCUUGCUUUUCACAGUUUUCCUCUUGUGAUGUUGGUCCAAGUGAUGCGCUUCGUCUGGGAGUUUCUGGCUCUUGGUGCUCUAGCAUCUUGACAACAUUCUCAGGGGAACCUGGAUAAAUCUCAGCAUGCUCUUUACUUGGUUCUGCUGCUUCUUUCGUUUCCUUCAAUGCAGACAUUCAAAAUUUUCAUUAAACUAGCACAUCAAUGGAAACUAGAUGAAAUAGCAAUAAAUAUUGUCUUGAACAUA